CAGUAAGUUGCCGUUAUAAUAACGUUGAGAGUUCAGAUUUUUAGAGAGAGGGGAGAGCAUCUCACAAAAUCUUUUGUUGAUAAUAUAAACUUUUAUCUUGUUCCUUAGUAGAGUGGUAAAUUGUAUGUAAGUUGAACUCAGAACUAGGUACAAUGGUUAUGUAUCUCCAAGUGAGAUGAAAAGCCUCGUCUUAUGUCGUUUCAAGUGAAACUUUACUUCGUUAC
rnacentral:lncRNA from 1 species